rnacentral:rRNA from 1 species
UGGGGAAUAUUGCACAAUGGGCGCAAGCCUGAUGCAGCCAUGCCGCGUGUGUGAAGAAGGCUUUCGGGUUGUAAAGCACUUUAAGCAGGGAGGAAAGGUUUAACGCUAAUAUCGUUGAACUGUGACGUUACCUGCAGAAUAAGCACCGGCUAACUCCGUGCCAGCAGCCGCGGUAAUACGGAGGGUGCGAGCGUUAAUCGGAAUUACUGGGCGUAAAGCGCGCGUAGGCGGUAAUCCAAGCUGGAUGUGAAAGCCCCGGGCUCAACCUGGGAACUGCAUUCAGAACUGGGUUGCUGGAGUACAGAAGAGGGGUGUGGAAUUUCCGGUGUAGCGGUGAAAUGCGUAGAGAUCGGAAGGAACAUCAGUGGCGAAGGCGACACCCUGGUCUGAUACUGACGCUGAGGUGCGAAAGCGUGGGGAGCAAACAGGAUUAGAUACCCCCGUAGUCC